rnacentral:rRNA from 1 species
UGGGGAAUAUUGGACAAUGGGCGAAAGCCUGAUCCAGCCAUGCCGCGUGUGUGAAGAAGGUCUUCGGAUUGUAAAGCACUUUAAGUUGGGAGGAAGGGUUGUAGAUUAAUACUCUGCAAUUUUGACGUUACCGACAGAAUAAGCACCGGCUAACUCUGUGCCAGCAGCCGCGGUAAUACAGAGGGUGCAAGCGUUAAUCGGAAUUACUGGGCGUAAAGCGCGCGUAGGUGGUUAGUUAAGUUGGAUGUGAAAUCCCCGGGCUCAACCUGGGAACUGCAUUCAAAACUGACUGACUAGAGUAUGGUAGAGGGUGGUGGAAUUUCCUGUGUAGCGGUGAAAUGCGUAGAUAUAGGAAGGAA